UACGGAGGAUCCAAGCGUUAUCCGGAAUCAUUGGGUUUAAAGGGUCCGUAGGCGGUUUUGUAAGUCAGUGGUGAAAGCCCAUCGCUCAACGGUGGAACGGCCAUUGAUACUGCAGACUUGAAUUAUUGGGAAGUAACUAGAAUAUGUAGUGUAGCGGUGAAAUGCUUAGAGAUUACAUGGAAUACCAAUUGCGAAGGCAGGUUACUACCAAUAUA
rnacentral:rRNA from 1 species